rnacentral:rRNA from 1 species
GACGAAACGUGCGAACGUUGUUCGGAAUCACUGGGCUUAAAGGGUGCGUAGGCGGGUUGUCCAGUCUGGGGGGAAAUCCCACGGCUCAACCGUGGAAUUGCCUCAGAUACUGACGACCUCGAGGGAGGUAGGGGCGAGCGGAACUGUGGGUGGAGCGGUGAAAUGCGUUGAUAUCCACAGGAACUCCGGUGGCGAAGGCGGCUCGCUGGACCUCUUCUGACGCUGAGGCACGAAAGCUAGGGGAGCAAACGUG